GAUGAACGCUGGCGGCGUGCCUAAUACAUGCAAGUCGAGCGAACGGACGAGAAGCUUGCUUCUCUGAUGUUAGCGGCGGACGGGUGAGUAACACGUGGAUAACCUACCUAUAAGACUGGGAUAACUUCGGGAAACCGGGGCUAAUACCGGAUAAUAUUUUGAACCGCAUGGUUCAAAAGUAAAAGACGGUCUUGCUGUCACUUAUAGAUGGAUCCGCGCUGCAUUAGCUAGUUGGUAAGGUAACGGCUUACCAAGGCAACGAUGCAUAGCCGACCUGAGAGGGUGAUCGGCCACACUGGAACUGAGACACGGUCCAGACUCCUACGGGAGGCAGCAGUAGGGAAUCUUCCGCAAUGGGCGAAAGCCUGACGGAGCAACGCCGCGUGAGUGAUGAAGGUCUUCGGAUCGUAAAACUCUGUUAUUAGGGAAGAACAUAUGUGUAAGUAACUGUGCACAUCUUGACGGUACCUAAUCAGAAAGCCACGGCUAACUACGUG
rnacentral:rRNA from 1 species